GACGAACGCUGGCGGCGUGCCUAAUACAUGCAAGUAGAACGCUGAAGCUUGGUGCUUGCACCGAGCGGAUGAGUUGCGAACGGGUGAGUAACGCGUAGGUAACCUGCCUGGUAGCGGGGGAUAACUAUUGGAAACGAUAGCUAAUACCGCAUAAUAGUAGAUGUUGCAUGACAUUUGCUUAAAAGGUGCAAUUGCAUCACUACCAGAUGGACCUGCGUUGUAUUAGCUAGUUGGUGAGGUAACGGCUCACCAAGGCAACGAUACAUAGCCGACCUGAGAGGGUGAUCGGCCACACUGGGACUGAGACACGGCCCAGACUCCUACGGGAGGCAGCAGUAGGGAAUCUUCGGCAAUGGACGGAAGUCUGACCGAGCAACGCCGCGUGAGUGAAGAAGGUUUUCGGAUCGUAAAGCUCUGUUGUAAGAGAAGAACGAGUGUGGGAGUGGAAAGUUCACAAUGUGACGGUAUCUUACCAGAAAGGGACGGCUAACUACGUG
rnacentral:rRNA from 1 species